rnacentral:misc_RNA from 1 species
AAGUCGUAACAAGGUUUCCGUAGGUGAACCUGCGGAAGGAUCAUUAUUGUAGGGACUCCGGUCCCCUCAAGAUGCAACCCGUGCCUUUUUUGUAGCCCGUAACGUUUCCUCGGCAGCCCCGCUGCCAGCGAGGACCCCCCCCAAACCAAACCUGCAAUCUCAGUAAUAAAUUCAGAAACCCCCCAAAAUUUAAAACUUUCAACAAUGGAUCUCUUGGCUCUG